rnacentral:rRNA from 1 species
AUUGAACGCUGGCGGCAGGCUUAACACAUGCAAGUCGAGCGAGCGGCGCACGGGUGAGUAAUGUCUGGGACACUGCCUGCUUGAGGGGGAUAGCUAUUGGAAACGGGAGCUAAUACCGCAUACCAUCAGAUGUGCCCCGAUGGGAUUAGCUGGUAGGUGGGGUAAUGGUGCACCUAGGCGACGAUCCCUAGCUGGUCUGCGAGGAGGACCAGCGCCACUGGAACUGAUAGACGGUCCAGACGCCUACGGAAGGCAGCAGUGGGGAAUAUUGGAGAAGGGGCGCAAGCCUGAUGCAGCCAUGCCGCGGAUGUGACGAGGGCCUUCGGGUUGUAAAGCACGUUCAGCGAGGAGGCGUUACGCGCAGAAGAAGCACCGGCUAACUCCGUGCCAGCAGCCGCGGUAAUUC